rnacentral:rRNA from 1 species
AACGAACGCUGGCGGCAUGCCUAACACAUGCAAGUCGAACGAGAUCUUCGGGUCUAGUGGCGCACGGGUGCGUAACGCGUGGGAGUCUGCCCUUUGGUUCGGAAUAACAGUUGGAAACGACUGCUAAUACCGGAUGAUGACGAAGGUCCAAAGAUUUAUCGCCAGAGGAUGAGCCCGCGUAGGAUUAGCUAGUUGGUGUGGUAAAGGCGCACCAAGGCGACGAUCCUUAGCUGGUCUGAGAGGAUGAUCAGCCACACUGGGACUGAGACACGGCCCAGACUCCUACGGGAGGCAGCAGUGGGGAAUAUUGGACAAUGGGCGAAAGCCUGAUCCAGCAAUGCCGCGUGAGUGAUGAAGGCCUUAGGGUUGUAAAGCUCUUUUACCCGGGAUGAUAAUGACAGUACCGGGAGAAUAAGCUCCGGCUAACUCCGUGCCAGCCGCCGCGGUAA